CCCCUGAGCAGGUCAGUCAUGGUUUGUGUCUGCAGUUGAAGUGUAAAUGGUGACUCUGUUACAGCACUGUUCCUUGUUUUUAUUUUUAGAAAGUCAAGCCGGAUGGCAGCAAUCAAGUUGAAGAGGGCAAGUCCACUCGGAGUAUGCCAGGAACCAGUCAGCAGACGGCCGAUGGACUAGGUUUGCUGCUCUUGUGAGCCCCCUGGGAGUCUUACAGGACUCGAUGAUGAAGCCUUUGCCUUUUUUACUUAAAGGUGUCAUCUGCAUCGCCUUUGGCAACGGCCUUGGAGUUGCGGCAUACCCUGCAAAGACGGCGUGGCCUCCGAGCGCGGCAAAAGCACGUGGCCCGAGGAGCUGGGCAUUCUCAGGAGAACGCUGUCUAGGAGACAACGGCCCAGCGACAGCAGGAACUUCCCAGCCGGCGAGGCGGCCUUCCUUCGGACCUGACACGGACCGGGUUCCCCAG